rnacentral:rRNA from 1 species
UACAGAGGUCUCGAGCGUUGUUCGGAUUCAUUGGGCGUAAAGGGCGCGUAGGCGGCGGGGUAAGUCUGGUGUGAAAUCUCGGAGCUCAACUCCGAAAUUGCACUGGAUACUGCUCUGCUAGAGGGCUGGAGAGGAGAUCGGAAUUCACGGUGUAGCAGUGAAAUGCGUAGAUAUCGUGAGGAAGACCAGUGGCGAAGGCGGAUCUCUGGACAGCUCCUGACGCUGAGGCGCUAAGGCUAGGGGAGCAAACGGG